rnacentral:tRNA from 1 species
AGUAGUAGUUUAACGGUAAAACACCACCUUGCCAUGGUGGAGUUGAGGGUUCGAUUCCCUUCUACU